rnacentral:rRNA from 1 species
AACCUCUACAAUACACGAAAGUGUGAUAGGGGAAUUCUACGUGCUCAUGUUUAACAUGGGCUUUUGCCGAGAGUAAAUAUCUCGGCGAAUAAGUGGUGGGCAAGACUGGUGCCAGCCGCCGCGGUAACACCAGCGCCACAAGUGGGAAUCGUGAUUAUUGGGCCUAAAGCGUUCGUAGCCGGUCUGCUAAAUCUCUUGUGAAAUCGUGGAGCUUAACUUCACGGCGUGCAGGAGACACUGGUAGACUUGAGACCGGGAGGGGUCGGAGGUAUGCUUGGGGGAGCAGUAAAAUGCUAUAAUCCCUUGUAGACCGCCGGUGGCGAAGGCGUCCGACCAGAACGGCUCUGACGGUGAGGGACGAAAGCCAGGGGAGCAAUCCGG